AUGAACGCUAGCGACAGGCUUAACACAUGCAAGUCGAGGGGCAGCAUGAUUUGUAGCAAUACAGAUUGAUGGCGACCGGCGCACGGGUGAGUAACGCGUAUGCAACUUACCUAUCAGAGGGGGAUAGCCCGGCGAAAGUCGGAUUAAUACCCCAUAAAACAGGGGUCCCGCAUGGGAAUAUUUGUUAAAGAUUCAUCGCUGAUAGAUAGGCAUGCGUUCCAUUAGGCAGUUGGCGGGGUAACGGCCCACCAAACCGACGAUGGAUAGGGGUUCUGAGAGGAAGGUCCCCCACAUUGGUACUGAGACACGGACCAAACUCCUACGGGAGGCAGCAGUGAGGAAUAUUGGUCAAUGGCCGAGAGGCUGAACCAGCCAAGUCGCGUGAAGGAAGAAGGAUCUAUGGUUUGUAAACUUCUUUUAUAGGGGAAUAAAGUGGAGGACGUGUCCUUUUUUGUAUGUACCCUAUGAAUAAGCAUCGGCUAACUCCGUGCCAGCAGCCGCGGUAAUACGGAGGAUGCGAGCGUUAUCCGGAUUUAUUGGGUUUAAAGGGUGCGUAGGUGGUGAUUUAAGUCAGCGGUGAAAGUUUGUGGCUCAACCAUAAAAUUGCCGUUGAAACUGGGUUACUUGAGUGUGUUUGAGGUAGGCGGAAUGCGUGGUGUAGCGGUGAAAUGCAUAGAUAUCACGCAGAACUCCGAUUGCGAAGGCAGCUUACUAAACCAUAACUGACACUGAAGCACGAAAGCGUGGGGAUCAAACAGGAUUAGAUACCCUGGUAGUCCACGCCGUAAACGAUGAAUACUAGGUGUCGGGUGGCAGAGCCAUUCGGUGCCGCAGCAAACGCAGUAAGUAUUCCACCUGGGGAGUACGUUCGCAAGAAUGAAACUCAAAGGAAUUGACGGGGGCCCGCACAAGCAGUGGAGUAUGUGGUUUAAUUCGACGCAACGCGAAGAACCUUACCAAGACUUGACAUAUACAGGAAUAUCUGGGAAAUCAGAUAGUUCUUCGGAACUUGUAUACAGGUGAUGCAUGGUUGUCGUCAGCUCGUGCCGUGAGGUGUCGGCUUAAGUGCCAUAACGAGCGCAACCCUUAUCACUAGUUACUAACAGGUGAAGCUGAGGACUCUGGUGAGACUGCCAGCGUAAGCUGUGAGGAAGGUGGGGAUGACGUCAAAUCAGCACGGCCCUUACAUCCGGGGCGACACACGUGUUACAAUGGCAUGGACAAAGGGCAGCUACCUGGCGACAGGAUGCUAAUCUCCAAACCAUGUCUCAGUUCGGAUCGGAGUCUGCAACUCGACUCCGUGAAGCUGGAUUCGCUAGUAAUCGCGCAUCAGCCAUGGCGCGGUGAAUACGUUCCCGGGCCUUGUACACACCGCCCGUCAAGCCAUGGGAGCCGGGGGUACCUGAAGUCCGUAACCGCAAGGAUCGGCCUAGGGUAAAACUGGUGACUGGGGCU
rnacentral:rRNA from 1 species